GAUGAACGCUGGCGGCGUGCUUAACACAUGCAAGUCGAACGGAAAGGCCCAAGCUUGCUUGGGUACUCGAGUGGCGAACGGGUGAGUAACACGUGGGUGAUCUGCCCUGCACUUCGUGAUAAGCCUUGGAAACUGGGUCUAAUACCGGAUAGGACCACAUUUUGGAUGGUGUGGUGGAAAGUUUUUCGGUGUUGGAUGAGCUCGCGGCCUAUCAGCUUGUUGGUGGGGUAAUGGCCUACCAAGGCGGCGACGGGUAGCCGGCCUGCGAGGGUGUACGGCCACAUUGGGACUGAGCGACGGCCAAGACUACGAAGGGAGGCAGCAGUGGGGAAUAUUGCACAAUGGGCGCAAGCCUGAUGCAGCGACGCCGCGUGGGGGAUGACGGCCUUCGGGUUGUAAACUCCUUUCGCUAGGGAAGAAGCGUUUUUGUGACGGUACCUGGAGAAGAAGCACCGGCUAACUACGUG
rnacentral:rRNA from 1 species